rnacentral:rRNA from 1 species
UACGUAGGGUGCAAGCGUUGUCCGGAUUUAUUGGGCGUAAAGAGCUCGUAGGCGGUUUGGCAAGUCGGGUGUGAAAACUUCAGGCUCAACCUGGAGAUUCCACCCGAGACUGCUAUGACUUGAGUCUGGUAGGGGAGCACGGAAUUCCUGGUGUAGCGGUGAAAUGCGCAGAUAUCAGGAGGAACACCGGUGGCGAAGGCGGUGCUCUGGGCCAGUACUGACGCUGAGGAGCGAAAGCGUGGGGAGCAAACAGG